rnacentral:rRNA from 1 species
GAUGAACGCUGGCGGCGUGCUUAACACAUGCAAGUCGAACGGAAAGGCCACAGCUUGCUGUGGUACUCGAGUGGCGAACGGGUGAGUAACACGUGGGUGAUGUGCCCUGUACUUCGGGAUAAGCUUGGGAAACUGGGUCUAAUACCGGAUAGGAAUCACAUGUGGGUGUGUGGUUGGAAAGCUUUUGCGGUAUGGGAUGAGCUCGCGGCCUAUCAGCUUGUUGGUGGGGUAAUGGCCUACCAAGGCGUCGACGGGUAGCCGGCCUGAGAGGGUGUACGGCCACAUUGGGACUGAGAUACGGCCCAGACUCCUACGGGAGGCAGCAGUGGGGAAUAUUGCACAAUGGGCGCAAGCCUGAUGCAGCGACGCCGCGUGGGGGAUGACGGCCUUCGGGUUGUAAACUCCUUUCGUCAGGGACGAAGCGAAAGUGACGGUACCUGGAUAAGAAGCACCGGCUAACUACGUG